rnacentral:rRNA from 1 species
UACAGAGGGUGCAAGCGUUAAUCGGAAUUACUGGGCGUAAAGCGUGCGCAGUCGGUUAUUUAAGUCGGAUGUGAAAUCCCCGGGCUCAACCUGGGAAUUGCAUUCGAUACUGGAUAGCUAGAGUUCGGCAGAGGGAAGUGGAAUUUCUGGUGUAGCGGUGAAAUGCGUAGAUAUCAGAAGGAACAUCAGUGGCGAAGGCGACUUCCUGGACCAGAACUGACGAUCAGGCACGAAAGCGUGGGGAGCAAACAGG